AUGAAUUUCAUAUUUUUAGAGACUGUUUGGUUUAUUAUAGUUACAAAAAUAGUGCAGUUGGAAGUAUAUAUAGUUGCAAAUGCUGUAAACAUAACUACACCUAGUCUGUUUGAUUUUAUGUAGUUGCAACUGCUGCAGUUACAUUUCUUCUGCUUGAUAGGCUAUAGUUGAAAUUUGUAUUUGUAAAUUCUGUUAAUUUUUAAAUAAAAAUGCAAGAUUAUCCCUUCCGAGCAUAACAUAAUCAUGUUUGAAUUAUUAAUUAAGACUUUUAUAUAUUAUAAAUUAUAUAUGAAUUUAAUGAAUUUUAAAUGUAAAUAUAUUAUAGAUUUGG
rnacentral:lncRNA from 1 species